rnacentral:misc_RNA from 1 species
AAGGAUCAUUACCGAGUGAGGGCCCUCUGGGUCCAACCUCCCACCCGUGUUUAUCGUACCUUGUUGCUUCGGCGGGCCCGCCUCACGGCCGCCGGGGGGCACCCGCCCCCGGGCCCGCGCCCGCCGAAGACACCAUUGAACUCUGUCUGAAGAUUGCAGUCUGAGCGAUUAUAGCUAAAUCAGUUAAAACUUUCAACAACGGAUCUCUUGGUUCCGGCAUCGAUGAAGAACGCAGCGGAUCAUUACCGAGUGAGGGCCCUCUGGGUCCAACUCCCCCGUGUUUAUCGUACCUUGUUGCUUCGGCGGGCCGCCUCCGGCCGCCGGGGGGCACCGCCCGGGCGCGCCGCCGAAGACCCAUUGAACUCUGUCUGAAGAUUGCGUCUGAGCGAUUAUAGCUAAAUCGUUAAAACUUUCAAAGGAUCUCUUGGUUCGGCAUCAUGAAGAAC